ensembl:lncRNA
UAAAUCGCGGCAUCUCUAAGAGAAAAUGCCUGAUGUUUGCAUUAAAUGUGUGAUUUUCAGGUUACAUGGGAGAUUUUUGAGGAGAAAAUGCGUGAUUUUCGGGAUAAAUGAGGGAUUCUUGAAGAGAAAAUGCAUCAUUUUCGGGUUAAAUGGGGGAUUCUGGAAGAGAAAUGGCAUUUUCUUCUGGUUAAAUGGGGGAUUUUCGAAGAGAAAAUGCUCGAUUUUCGUUUACAGGUUACAUGGGAGAUUUUUGAGGAGAAAAUGCGUGAUUUUCGGGAUAAAUGAGGGAUUCUUGAAGAGAAAAUGCAUCAUUUUCGGGUUAAAUGGGGGAUUCUGGAAGAGAAAUUGCAUUUUCUUCUGGUUAAAUGGGGGAUUUUCGAAGAGAAAAUGCUCGAUUUUCGUUUACAG